NNNNNNGUGGAGGUGGAAGGCCUACGGGUCGUCAACUUCUUUUCCCGGAGAAGAAAAAAUGACAGUAUCUGAGGAAUAAGCAUCGGCUAACUUUGUGCCAGCAGCCGUGGUAAGACACAGGAUGCAAGCGUUAUCCGGAAUGAUUGGGCGUAAAGCGUUUGUAGGUCUCUUUUAAAGUCCGCCGUCAAAUCCCAGGGCUCAACCCUGGACAAGCGAUGGAAACUACCAAGCUGGAGUAUGGUAGGGGCAGAGGGAAUUUCCGGUGGAGCGGUGAAAUGCAUUGAGAUCGGAAAGAACACCAACGGCGAAAGCACUCUGCUGGGCCGACACUGACACUGAGAGACGAAAGCUAGGGGAGCAAAUGAGAUUAGAGACCCUAGUAGUCCUAGUCGUAAACGAUGGAUACUAGGUUCUGUGCGACUCGACCCGUGCAGUGCUGUAGCUAACGCGUUAAGUAUCCCGCCUGGGGAGUAUGUUCGCAAGAAUGAAACUCAAAGGAAUUGACGGGGGCUCGCACAAGCGAUGGAGCAUCUGGUUUAAUUUGAUGCAAAGCGAAGAACCUUACCAGGGCUUGACAUGUCACGAAUCCUCUUGAAAGAGAGGGGUGCCCUCGGGAACGCGGACACAGGUGGUGCAUGGUUGUCGUCAGCUCGUGCCAUAAGGUGUUGGGUUAAGUCUCACAACGAAUGCAACCCUCGUGUUUAGUUGCCACUAUGAGUUUGGAACCCUGAACAGACCGCCAGUGUUAAGACGGAGGAAGGAGAGGAUGAGGCCAAGUCAUCAUGCCCCUUAUGCCCUGGGCAACACACGUGCUACAAUGGGCGGGACAAAGGGUCGCGAUCUUGCGAGGGUGAGCUAACUCCAAAAACCCGUCCUCAGUUCGGAUUGCAGGCUGCACCUCGCCUGCAUGAAGCAGGAAUCACUAGUAAUCGUCGGCGGCCAUAGGGUCGCGAUCUUGCGAGGGUGAGCUAACUCCAAAAACCCGUCCUCAGUUCGGAUUGCAGGCUGCACCUCGCCUGCAUGAAGCAGGAAUCGCUAGUAAUCGUCGGUCGGCCAUACGGUGGUGAAUCCGUUCCAGGGCCUUGUACACACCGC
rnacentral:rRNA from 1 species